AACGAACGCUGGCGGCAUGCCUAACACAUGCAAGUCGAACGAGACCUUCGGGCCUAGUGGCGCACGGGUGCGUAACGAGUGGGAAAUUGCCCUUAGGUUCGGUAUACCUCCCCGUAGGGGGUGCUCAUACCGGUUAAUGUCUUCGGACCAAAGAUUUAUUGCCUUUGGAUGGGCCCGCGUUGGUUUAGCUAGUUGGUAGGGUAAAAGCCUACCAAGGCGACGAUGCAUAGCUGGUCUGAGAGGAUGAUCAGCCACACUGGGACUGAGACACGGCCCAGACUCCUACGGGAGGCAGCAGUGGGGAAUAUUGGACAAUGGGCGAAAGCCUGAUCCAGCAAUGCCGCGUGAGUGAUGAAGGCCUUAGGGUUGUAAAGCUCUUUUACCCGGGAUGAUAAUGACAGUACCGGGAGAAUAAGCUCCGGCUAACUCCGUG
rnacentral:rRNA from 1 species